rnacentral:rRNA from 1 species
GAUGAACGCUGGCGGCGUGCCUAAUACAUGCAAGUAGAACGCUGAAGGAAGGAGCUUGCUCUUUCCGGGUGAGUUGCGAACGGGUGAGUAACGCGUAGGUAACCUGCCUGGUAGCGGGGGGUAACUAUAGGAAACGAUAUAUAAUACCGCAUAAGAGUAGAUAUUGCAUGAUAUUUACUUAAAAGGUGCAAUUGCACCACUACCAGAUGGACCUGCGUUGGAUUAGGUAGUUGGUGAGGUAACGGCCCACCAAGGCGGCGAUACAUAGCCGGGCGGGGAAGGUGGACGGGCAAACUGGGAAUGGGACACGGCCCAGAAUCCCACCGGAGGGAACAGUAGGGAAAUAUUGGAAAAGGACGGAAGGCUGGACGCAGAAAGCCGCGGGGGGGGAGGAGGGUUUCGGAACGUAAAGGUCUGUUGUGAGGGGAGGACGAGUGGUAAGGUAGAAAGUUCACGUUGUGACGGUACCUUAACAGAAAGCGACGGCUAACUACGUG